CAAGAGAUGUUUAGCGUUCAUAUUCGCACUGCUAGCGACUGGACAAUUGCUCUAUCAAAUACCUGCACUGGAGAGGGAAUAGAAGCAAAUAAUCUUAAUGAUGUAUCAAGGUUUAGUACAUUUUUACUACAGGUUUUGUUGUUAUCUUUACAAUAGUUCAGAAAUAUUUUAAGAUUAGGAUAGAGAUGACACAAAAAAAAACAAUAAAAUCACACUUCAAGUCAA